CUAGAACAUUGACCCGUGCGGUGCACGGGUCUGAUUAGCCGUAAGAUAUAUAAUGAUUAAAUAAGAUAUGAUAAUUUCAAUAAUGUAAGGUAUAUGAAAAAAGUUGAAUAACAUUAAACGAUAGUUCAACAAUAAUUUUGGAUAAAUAUUCAUACAAAGAAAAAUAUGUUAUAUUACGGAAGACUUCCUUAUAAACCACAUUCGAAGUCUUAGUUGUAUCUUC
rnacentral:lncRNA from 1 species